CCAUGCCCUGUGAUAAUGAUGUAAUUUAUUUUUUUUAAUUUUUUAUUCUAAUUUGUUAUAUAUGACAGCAGAAUGCAUUACAAUUCAUACGACACUUAUAGAGCACAAUUUCUCAUAUCUCUGGUUGUAUACAAAGUAUAGUCACACCAUUCAUGUCUUCAUACAUGUACUUAGGGUAAUGAUGUGCAUCUCAUUCCACCAUCUUUUUACACCCCUUGCCUCAACCUCCUCUUCCCUCAACCUCCCCUGCCCACCCCUCUGCCCUAUCUACAGUUCAUCUAAUCUUUCCAUGCUCUCCCUCCCAACCCCACUAUGAAUCAGCCUCCUUUUAUCAGAGAAAACAUUCAGCAAUUGGUUUUUUGGGAUUGGCUGACUUCACUUAGCAUUAUCUUCUCCAACUCCAUCCAUUUACCUGCAAAUGCCAUGAUUUUAUUCUCUUUAAUUGCUGAGUAAUAUUCCAUUGUGUAUAUAUACCACAUUUUCUUUAAAUGAUGUAAUUUUGAUUCAUUUUCACUUUCUUCCAUCUUCCCAGAGAAUUGCUUUAUCACAGAAUGGGGGAGUCCUUCAGCUCUGGGAGGCUUCAUUGCAGCUUCUAAGGUAGGGAUCCCUGCCUAGAAGAUACUGGCCAUUCAAGCCUUCUCCCCUCCCCAGCAGGGACAAGGAUCCUGUAACCAGAGCACACUGGGACCAUUCCUGGGGACAUCACCUGCUCAGCAGCCUUCUCUGCCACAAGCAUUUACACAGGCUGUCUGUCUCUCCAGACACAAACUUCUUGACUGGAGUCUAAUCUGAGCCGGUUUCAUUCUGAGCUGAGGGAGACAACACCCUAAAUCAGAGAGUCACUCUGAGCUUUUCCUAUGACCUUGAGAGUUUCUCCAUGUGAUUCCUUUUGGCAUUUUUCAAACCAUGCUUGCUUUCCAGUAAUGUUGGUAAGCAACAUUUCUUUGUUACCUUUCCCCCUUACAAUUUCAGAUGAGUUUUUUAGAAGUUGAAAACCUAGCCAGGCAUGGUGGCACACACCUGUGAUCCUAGUGCCUUGGGAGCCUGAGGCAGGAGGAUCCCAAGUUCAAAGCCAGCCUCAGCAACUCAGGGAGGCUCUAAGCAAUUUAGCGAGACCCUGUCUCAAAAUAAAACAUAAAGAGGGCUGGGGAUGUGGCUAAGUGGUAAAGCACCCCUGGGUUCAAUCCCUGGUACCAAAAAAAAAAAAAAAGGGUUGAAAGCCUGCAUUUUAAAUUUUGAAAUCAUACUGACAUGCAACCAAUUCUUUCACAAAACUAAAGAGGAGUUUUUCUUUGGCCUUAUAAAAACUCAGAGCAGCCAGCCUUGGAGUAUAUUUAGUAACUUUACAUUCAAAGAAUACUGCAGGAGUUGGCAAAAAGUCGUGUGUUUACUAUGAUGAACUAUAAAUGUGUUAAAAACAUCAAAUUGCUAUUGUGCAGGCUUUCUUAUAGUUUAUAGGGACUUCCCUCGCUUUAGAAAUGACACAGUUCAUGGUAGAACUUCCUGUUUUAAAAACCACACAAACUCCCCACCCAUUCCCCUUCCAACAUUUCAACAAUGUGAUUACAUAGUAUUUUUAUUUUCCUACUGUGAUUGCCAUUUGACGUUAACAUUACCAAACUCUGACAAAGUCACAGGAAUGCAGUCACACUGAGAGAUAUACACACUCAGGUUGUUUUUCCUUGCUUUGAAGUUCAUACAUUCAGUAUUUUCAGUUGGGUUCAUUUCAUUCAGGAUCUAUAUGGAAAAUAUACUCUUGUCCCAUGAUAAAAACCAAAGAGAAAUAUGUUUACCUUUUCAAUAUUUUGUGGGGUUUGCAAAAAUGAAAGCAACUCCAUUCUGCAACUGCAUUCUGCACAGAAAUCUGAAUUUUGGUUGAGCUGACAAAUUUCAUCCCACACAGAUUACUCCACCAUGUAUUCUCAGCCACAAGCAAAACUGGCAUGAAGAAUGACGAAUUCCCUCACAUGAGGUGUGGCUGGGGCUUCACACACUUCCUUUGGGUCUGUGUCCCAGAUGAUUCAGAACCACAACUCUGAUUAGAUGGCCCUUCCUCUGUGCGAUUGCACCGAAGGCCCCAGAGGCAGAAAGACCUGGGUGCAAAUUCUCAUGCUAUAGUUGACCCCUCUGAGCAGAAACUUUGUGAGGGGGCUUCUUUGUCUUUUUCCUCUUCUUCAUCCCCCAGAGACAAUCAACAAGCCAUGCCAAUGCUAGUAUCACUCAGCUUUUCGCUGUCCUCAGGGCACAUUCCGACUUGGCAUCCACCAUCCUUAGCCUCAUCAUAGACUACUAUGUGAUCUCCCUGCCUGCAUAUGAGUCUUUUUUAAAAAGCACAAGUGCUACAAAGCAUGUUCUCACUUAAAGUCUCUCCGUGGCUGCCCAUCACUAAUAAGGUAGGACUGAGGGACCCCUUUAUUGUCCUGAAGUGCCCCUCCAUGACCUGGCCCUGCCUACUUUCCCAAGCUCCCCAACUGCACCAGCCACACCCAGAGAUCACUCACAGCUUGAGACCAGCACAUACAGACUUGUGCACUCUUCCUUGACUUGGCCCUCUGCACUCCUUCUAAGGAAUUCCUUCUCUCUGUACGCUUGUCCCCCAAUUCCUGAGUACAGUAGCCCCCUCCCACAUUCUGCAGUUUUACCUUCCAUGGUUUCAGUCAUCCCGUCAACCAGGGUCUGAAAAUAUUAAAUAGAAUAUUCUAGAAACACACAGAUGAUGAGUUUUAAAUAACUAUUAUUACAAUUUAUGAUUAAAAUGGUUCUUUUUUAUUAGUAGUUAUUGUUGCCUAACUUAUAAGUUAAACUGUAUCAUAGGUAUAUAUGUCUAGGGGAAAAAAAAUAAACAGUUUUAUACAGGAUUCAGUACAAUCUGUGGCUUCAAGCAUCUGCACAGUGUCCUGAAAUGUAAGUGGGGAACUACUGUAUCACCAGCCCAGAGAGACCUGCUCUGCAUCCUAGCCCUGCACAACCAGCCCACGUUCCCCCACCCCACUUUCCCCACCCCAGUGUCCCCAAUUACCUACUUGCCGAGCUCUAAGAACAUCAUGCAAAUGAUACACUUGAUGGAAUUUUUCUCUGAUUCUACUUAUCUUCCAGGCCAAAUCCUUGCGGGUGAGGACAAGCCAUAUUUUUUUUUUCUACAUCUUCAGCCCCUCCCCCUCACAGAAUCUGUCACAAAGUAGGUCUUUGGAGAAUAUUAGUUGGUGACCAGGUUGGGGCUCAAGGUGAUUCUCAGCAUACUGGAUCUCAAUCCACAUCCUAUAAGAACACCACUCAAGUUUCCACAAAUAUUUGAUUCCAAUUCCAUUUUUUUUUAAUUGCUAAAUUACUUUGUAUACUGUACUAUAAUAGAUUCGUGAUAUGUUAUUCACAACCAUAGAAUACACUGCAUAUCAGCAGGUUAAGUGUGUUGCAAAGAUAAGUUAUUUUUUGAAGAUUUCUAAAUAAACCUCCUAUCAUUUGCUGUUUACUUAAAGAGUAUCCCAAGGUUGCAAGGCCAGUUGAUUUUUUUUUUUUUUUAGAAAAGCAGUUAAUUUAUAAUCCUUUAUCUGUGCAAAUUAAGAAUUUCUCCUUACAAUGUGACAAAAGCAAACUUCAGAAAUAAAGUGAGCCCUGAGGCUGGUGGCUUCUAGAUAAAAACGUUUUUCCCAUAACCCCAGUUUCUGUUUUUUUUCCAUUUAUUAAAACAGCCUGUAAUUCACGUUGCUUGGCUUUAUGAUGUGUGAAUAUAGUAAGUUUGAC
rnacentral:lncRNA from 1 species